rnacentral:misc_RNA from 1 species
CUCUUAUUCUCUACAAACUAUGGAAAAAUUACAGCAUUCCUCUGCAGCUCAAGACCUCGGAUCUCAGAGGCACAACUCGCUCCUCGUACUUACUCUCUCUAGCGCCGGUCGCGGUCGUCUUCUAUCUACUUGAAUCCCAUAGCUACCACUGGGAUUCUGACGAGGUGGCCGCGGUCGCCUUUCAUGGCGAUCUCUCCGAAACUGUAGGUGCCGGUCACGGACCUCGCCGUCAGGGUCACAGCUAGCUCUCUCGAUGCUCCGGGCAGCACCGUCACCGCCGGAGGCGUCACCUCCAGGGCAACCUCCGGCGGCAUUCUCGUCAUGAUGGUGUAGGUCUCGGUCUCCUCGGACACGCUUGUGACGGUCCGCGUCACCGUCACGGUGCCUCGAAGCUGAGAGAUGGCGAUCGAGGGGAGGUUGAGGUCGAAGGGGCGUUGACGCCCCUUGGAGCUGGAGUUGCAAGCUGAACCGGCGAUGUUUGACACUUCGCUCUGGUUGACGUCAGGGAUCGAGCACAAAAAUGCGAUGUACUCUUCGUGGGCUGCCAGCAUGAAUAGAGGAGCAAAAUUAGACGAGUGAAAGAGGGAUGCUAUACAUUACCAUCUGGAAAGCUUCGACCAGACACUACCAUCCCAAUUACUUUGACCAGCUUAUCCCACGGGAAAAAAAUGGACGGCAAUUGAACUUACUUGCAUCUAGAACAAGACCAGGAUCAAGGGCAGCUUUUGGGUUAACAGCGCCACUACCACAAUCAAACGGUGUGGCCCGAGAAAGUGUCAUCAUUUCCGAUGCAGUGUACUGCUGCGCUCUGAGAGGACGGCUCCCUUUGUCCAGUGUAUUGGCCGUUGUCAUCAUGGCAGAUUUUAUUGCUGAGGGGCUCCACUUUGGGUUCUUCUGCUUUAUCAGUGCCGCAAUGCCAGCGAUAUGCGGUGCGGCCAUGCUAGUUCCAGAAACCAUUGCAAAUCCUUCACCUGAGAAAUAUUACCACAGCAAUGUUGAGUUGGUUCGAGC